rnacentral:misc_RNA from 1 species
UUUCAUUGAUAUGGAUGUUUGUGCCAUAGAUUUUACCAUUAUAUGUAAGUUAUUGAUGUGGUCCACAUGCACGCCGGGAUUGUAUGUAGUAUCAAAUCUUAAUAAUUCUUUAUACAAGCAGUUGUUGGACAAGGUAAAUGGGAUAUGAAGUCAUUUUUGUUGGCCAAGCCAACAUCAUUGUGCUUGGUAUGUCAAUAAAUGCUUGCAUAUAUGCUGUUACACUGUUUGUGCAUGUGUAUCCCUGGCUAAUUGUGGUGGCAAAUAUGGUUCAUUAUUACAUUUUCUCUUAACUGCGCAAAACUUGAUCCAGAAAAAUGUCUGUUGAAGAGAA